GACGAACGCUGGCGGCGUGCCUAAUACAUGCAAGUUGAGCGCUGAAGGUUGGUACUUGUACCGACUGGAUGAGCAGCGAACGGGUGAGUAACGCGUGGGGAAUCUGCCUUUGAGCGGGGGACAACAUUUGGAAACGAAUGCUAAUACCGCAUAAAAACUUUAAACACAAGUUUUAAGUUUGAAAGAUGCAAUUGCAUCACUCAAAGAUGAUCCCGCGUUGUAUUAGCUAGUUGGUGAGGUAAAGGCUCACCAAGGCGAUGAUACAUAGCCGACCUGAGAGGGUGAUCGGCCACAUUGGGACUGAGACACGGCCCAAACUCCUACGGGAAGCAGCAGUAGGGAAUCUUCGGCAAUUGACGAAAGUCUGACCGAGCAACGCCGCGUGAGUGAAGAAGGAUUUCGGAUCGUAAAACUCUGUUGGUAGAGAAGAACGUUGGUGAGAGUGGAAAGCUCAUCAAGUGACGGUAACUACCCAGAAAGGGACGGCUAACUACGUG
rnacentral:rRNA from 1 species